UUAAAAAGGUCAAGCUACAAAGGGCGCAUGGUGAAUGCCUUGGCAUCAGGAGCCGAUGAAGGACGUGAUAAGCUGCGAUAAGCUUCGGGUAGGCGCACAUAGCCAGAGAUCCGGAGAUUUCCGAAUGGGGAAACCCGCAUGAGAAACCUCAUGCAUCGUAAAGUGAAUACAUAGCUUUAUGAAGGAACACCUAGGGAACUGAAACAUCUAAGUACCUAGAGGAAGAGAAAGAAAAAUCGAUUUUCUUAGUAGCGGCGAGCGAAAAGGAAAGAGCCCAAACCAGAGAUUUAUCUCUGGGGUUGCGGACAGAACAUAACGUGAAAUUAUGAUUAACCGAACACAACUGGAAAGUUGGACCGUAGGAGGUAAUAGUCCUGUAAGUAAAAGUCAUAAUGAUCAGUUCUGCACCAGAGUACCACGAGACACGUGAAACCUUGUGGGAAGCAGGGAGGACCACCUCCCAAGGCUAAAUACUACCUGAUGACCGAUAGUGAAGCAGUACCGUGAGGGAAAGGUGAAAAGAACCCCGGGAGGGGAGUGAAAUAGAACCUGAAACCAUGUGCCUACAACCGAUCAAAGCACCUUAUGUGUGUGAUGAUGUGCUUUUUGUAGAACGAGCCAACGAGUUACGGUAUGUAGCGAGGUUAAGUACUUAAGGUACGGAGCCGAAGGGAAACCGAGUCUUAAUAGGGCGACUAGUUGCAUGCUGUAGACCCGAAACCGGGUGACCUAUCCAUGGCCAGGUUGAAGCGAGGGUAAAACCUCGUGGAGGACCGAACCACGUUGCUGUUGAAAAAGCAUGGGAUGAGCUGUGGAUAGCGGAGAAAUUCCAAUCGAACUCGGAUAUAGCUGGUUCUCCUCGAAAUAGCUUUAGGGCUAGCGUCGUGAAAUGUGAGUACUGGAGGUAGAGCACUGAAUAGGCUAGGGGGCAUAGCGCUUACCGAACCUUAUCAAACUCCGAAUGCCAGAUACUAUCAGCACGGCAGUCAGACUAUGAAAGAUAAGUUCCAUGGUCAAAAGGGAAACAGCCCAGAUCGUCAGCUAAGGUCCCAAAGUGUAAGUUAAGUGGAAAAGGAUGUGGGAUUUCUAAGACAACUAGGAUGUUGGCUUAGAAGCAGCCACUCAUUAAAAGAGUGCGUAAUAGCUCACUAGUCAAGAGAUCCUGCGCCGAAAAUGUCCGGGGCUCAAACUUACCACCGAAGCUACGGGUUCAUACUUUGUAUGAGCGGUAGAGGAGCGUCGUAAUCGGGCUGAAGUCGUACCGUAAGGAGCGGUGGACUGAUUACGAGUGAGAAUGUUGGCAUUAGUAGCGAGAUGUAGGUGAGAAUCCUACAGGCCGAAUAUCUAAGGUUUCCUGAGUAAAGUUUGUCUUCUCAGGGUUAGUCGGGACCUAAGGCGAGGCCGAGAGGCGUAGUCGAUGGACAAUUGGUUGAUAUUCCAAUACCACUAUAAUCGUUAUUAUCGAUGGUGUGACGGAGAAGGAUAGGAUGUGCCAGCUAUUGGAUGCUGGUCUAAGCGUUGAGGGAGUUAGAACAGGCAAAUCCGUUCUAACAAUCCUAGGGCGUGAUGGGGAAGGUUCCACGGAACCGAAGUAUCUGAUUUCAUGCUUCCAAGAAAAGCAUCUAGAAAGAGAAGUAGUGCCCGUACCGCAAACCGACACAGGUAGAUGAGGAGAGAAUCCUAAGGCCGACGGAAGAAUCACAGUUAAGGAACUAGGCAAAUUGACCCCGUAACUUCGGGAGAAGGGGUGCCUACCAUUUGGUAGGCCGCAGAGAAUAGGCACAAGCAACUGUUUAACAAAAACACAGGUCUCUGCUAAAGCGUAAGCUGAUGUAUAGGGGCUGACGCCUGCCCGGUGCUGGAAGGUUAAGGGGAACACUUAGCGCAAGCGAAGGUGUGAACUUAAGCCCCAGUAAACGGCGGCCGUAACUAUAACGGUCCUAAGGUAGCGAAAUUCCUUGUCAGGUAAGUUCUGACCCGCACGAAUGGCGUAAUGACUUGUGCACUGUCUCAACUGUGAAUCCGGCGAAGUUGUAGUGCGAGUGAAGAUGCUCGCUACCCGCGAUUGGACGGAAAGACCCCGUAGAGCUUUACUGUAGCUUAGCAUUGAAUUUCGGUAUUGUCUGUACAGGAUAGGUGGGAGACUGGGAAAUUAGGGCGUCAGCCUUAAUGGAGUCGUUGUUGGGAUACCACCCUGAUAGUAUUGAAGUUCUAACUGGAUGCCAUGAAACUGGUGACAGGACAUUGUUAGGUGGGCAGUUUGACUGGGGCGGUCGCCUCCUAAAAUGUAACGGAGGCGCCCAAAGGUUCCCUCAGAAC
rnacentral:rRNA from 1 species